UCUUGCACGACAUUCCCCCUACAUGGGGUAAUCUAUGCAUUGAUGGAAAAAGUAGGAAGAAAAUCAAAGGUAUGGAUCAUGCCAAUUGGAAGAAUGUAACCCAUAAUUUAUACCAAAGUGUACCUAUAGCAGCUUUGUUAUUUAAUCACACAUUUAAGUGGGACCCAAUAAUAUUCCUCCUAAGAAAUUACUAAAAAUUUCAUGCGAACACAUGCUAGUCUUUAUUCUCGUCGUGCAAUCUAUUGUUCUUCGGCACAGAGUUGCUGAAGUUGCCAACGAUUAUGUCCUUCCGGGACUGGUCACCCUCUUACAAGCUUCCUUCAUUGUUAAGAUGAAAUAUAUACCAAAAAUUUGUGAACUAAAUCCAUUCAUUGUUAAGGCUCCCAUUUACUUACCUUGAAACACACAUUGGCAUGUCAAGUCAACUCCUUGUAAAAAGGGAAUUGGAUUGUUCAACGAAUUUGUAUCCAAAUCGGACCCAUUACAUCCUCCUACAAGACUAUUUUCAAUAGACUCCAUUAUAAUCCCAUGUAAGUGCCACGUAAGGUGAGAUAUAACAACAGAAAGUUUAGUAACAUUUGGACGUGGAGACGCGCAACCCUAGACUUAAUCAGGGAAAUAACUCAUAGUUUUUGUCGCUUCAUCUUUGUGAGAAUAACAACUUAUCAUCUGAUCAUAAGAAAGGGAGACUUCCCCAAAAGUACAUCAGUCUGGAGAGCCCACAUCAAACGUUUGAACAAUUUGCUUAGCAGACUAGCAAGUAGAAUCAAAAGUCCACAUGUCAGAAAGAGAAAAAAGAAAUUAUUAAGGUCCAGAAUUGUGUGUAAUGCACAUAAGAUCGUCGGUUCCUUAAAAAGCCCAUGAGCUUCUAUGGUCCUGAUUUAGACUGGAGGAAGUUAUAUGCAUUUACAAAUAUUUCAAUUCAUAUAACAUCAUGCUAACAUUUAGAACAGUGAAUUGAAUAAUACAGAAAGGGUGGAAAGGAAGUUUUGUAUUCUGUAUUGUCACCGCUGCGCACGAAACUUGUCCUAUCUCUAUAGGGCAAUUAUUGGCAAAGCCUAGUGACCACAAGAGAUUAAUAUGUUUGUCAAAUGAAACGUACCUUUCGUUUCCAUAUGAACCCAUGUGAGCAUCUAUCGAAGAAUGUGACUUUCCAACCAUAAAAAUUUCACAAAGGGCAUCCUUCUUUUGCCAAUCCUCUCACCUGCAAUUUCUUAGCACAUAUGGUAUGCAGUAUUAAACAGGAUUAUUUAAUAGAGCUAAAAAAAUUUAACCUUUUUUCUUUAAUACUGUUUAUAGCAUUUAAUCUAACUUACUAAAUAAGUAAAUAUGUCAUAAGUUGUCCCGUGCAUUUUAUAUCGAUACCAACAUUGCAUUUAAUAUUUAUGACAGAAAGAACUUUAAUAGACCAAUAUCAGACAAGUGUAAAUGUGGUUUACAUGCUAUUUAAUGUUGAAAUACUACUUGACUAUAUACUGUCCAAAUUUGGCUGAGGACUUGCAAUGAAUCUAUACCUUGUUUAGCUUUAAUAGUUCACACCAUUAUUCAUGAAGACCAAUACACCUAAAAAACUGACCUUUUAUUCUUUCUGUGGGCUUUGCUUAUUGCAGUUGGUUUAAUUUACCUUUGUGGGGCAAUCAUUCUGAAGUCUAAAGCCUCUGGUAAAGAGAAUCUUCAGGUUACAACCCAAAGUAUUCUCUCAGAUACUUGCAUUUUGUCUU
rnacentral:lncRNA from 1 species